GGGUUGUGAGGUUAAGCGACUAAGCGUACACGGUGGAUGCCCUGGCAGUCAGAGGCGAUGAAGGACGUGCUAAUCUGCGAUAAGCGCCGGUAAGGUGAUAUGAACCGUUAUAACCGGCGAUUUCCGAAUGGGGAAACCCAGUGUGACUCGUCACACUAUCAUUAACUGAAUCCAUAGGUUAAUGAGGCGAACCGGGGGAACUGAAACAUCUAAGUACCCCGAGGAAAAGAAAUCAACCGAGAUUCCCCCAGUAGCGGCGAGCGAACGGGGAGGAGCCCAGAGCCUGAAUCAGCAUGUGUGUUAGUGGAAGCGUCUGGAAAGGCGCGCGAUACAGGGUGACAGCCCCGUACACAAAAGCGCAUGUGCUGUGAGCUCGAUGAGUAGGGCGGGACACGUGGUAUCCUGUCUGAAUAUGGGGGGACCAUCCUCCAAGGCUAAAUACUCCUGACUGACCGAUAGUGAACCAGUACCGUGAGGGAAAGGCGAAAAGAACCCCGGCGAGGGGAGUGAAAAAGAACCUGAAACCGUGUACGUACAAGCAGUGGGAGCACAGGUUUACCUGUGUGACUGCGUACCUUUUGUAUAAUGGGUCAGCGACUUAUAUUCUGUAGCAAGGUUAACCGAAUAGGGGAGCCGUAGGGAAACCGAGUCUUAACCGGGCGUUAAGUUGCAGGGUAUAGACCCGAAACCCGGUGAUCUAGCCAUGGGCAGGUUGAAGGUUGGGUAACACUAACUGGAGGACCGAACCGACUAAUGUUGAAAAAUUAGCGGAUGACCUGUGGCUGGGGGUGAAAGGCCAAUCAAACCGGGAGAUAGCUGGUUCUCCCCGAAAGCUAUUUAGGUAGCGCCUCGUGAAUUCAUCUCCGGGGGUAGAGCACUGUUUCGGCUAGGGGGCCAUCCCGGCUUACCAACCCGAUGCAAACUGCGAAUACCGGAGAAUGUUAUCACGGGAGACACACGGCGGGUGCUAACGUCCGUCGUGAAGAGGGAAACAACCCAGACCGCCAGCUAAGGUCCCAAAGUCAUGGUUAAGUGGGAAACGAUGUGGGAAGGCCCAGACAGCCAGGAUGUUGGCUUAGAAGCAGCCAUCAUUUAAAGAAAGCGUAAUAGCUCACUGGUCGAGUCGGCCUGCGCGGAAGAUGUAACGGGGCUAAACCAU
rnacentral:rRNA from 1 species